UGCUUACACAUGCAAGUCGAACGGAAAGGCCCAGCUUGCUGGGUACUCGAGUGGCGAACGGGUGAGUAACACGUGGGUGAUCUGCCCUGCACUCUGGGAUAAGCCUGGGAAACUGGGUCUAAUACCGGAUAUGACCAACUGUCGCAUGGUGGUUGGUGGAAAGCUUUUGCGGUGUGGGAUGGGCCCGCGGCCUAUCAGCUUGUUGGUGGGGUAAUGGCCUACCAAGGCGACGACGGGUAGCCGACCUGAGAGGGUGAUCGGCCACACUGGGACUGAGACACGGCCCAGACUCCUACGGGAGGCAGCAGUGGGGAAUAUUGCACAAUGGGCGCAAGCCUGAUGCAGCGACGCCGCGUGAGGGAUGACGGCCUUCGGGUUGUAAACCUCUUUCACCAGGGACGAAGCGUGAGUGACGGUACCUGGAGAAGAAGCACCGGCCAACUACGUGCCAGCAGCCGCGGUAAUACGUAGGGUGCGAGCGUUGUCCGGAAUUACUGGGCGUAAAGAGCUCGUAGGCGGUUUGUCGCGUCGUCUGUGAAAUUCUGCAACUCAAUUGCAGGCGUGCAGGCGAUACGGGCAGACUUGAGUACUACAGGGGAGACUGGAAUUCCUGGUGUAGCGGUGAAAUGCGCAGAUAUCAGGAGGAACACCGGUGGCGAAGGCGGGUCUCUGGGUAGUAACUGACGCUGAGGAGCGAAAGCGUGGGUAGCGAACAGGAUUAGAUACCCUGGUAGUCCACGCCGUAAACGGUGGGUACUAGGUGUGGGUUCCUUUUCACGGGAUCCGUGCCGUAGCUAA
rnacentral:rRNA from 1 species